rnacentral:rRNA from 1 species
UUUGGUGGCGAUAGCGAAGAGGUCACACCCGUUUCCAUACCGAACACGGAAGUUAAGCUCUUCAGCGCCGAUGGUAGUCGGGGGUUUCCCCCUGUGAGAGUAGGACGCCGCCAAGC